AUAUAUAUAUAUAUAUAUAUAUAUAUGGAUUAAAGAAUUGUAACAGAGUAGCAGAAGACUAUACAGUGUGUUGGUUUCGUAAUCCAGUUCAUUGAAAUUAAACAAUGACUAUGAGGUUAAACUUUUAGCUGUAAUUUGAGGGGUUUUGCAUCCAUACUGGGUGAUUGUGAUCAUCCCCUUAGUUAAUAGGUCUGUAAGCCUGCCUUAAAUUUAAAAACUGGCAGAAUUUUUUGACCCACAGAAAUUGCAACCAUCCUCACUUCUUGCUUGUUUCUGAGACUUUUUGCCUGAAGUCUGGUCUCUAGCAAGUACAACAUGCUCAUUCAGUCAGGUGACUGACUCAGCCAGUCACUAUUUGGCCCUAAAAACUCCUUGUUUGCUUUGCCUCUAUGUUCAGCAUCAUUGUCCUCAUGCGUUGGCUUUAAAUUGGGGUAAUAUGUAUGCAAAAAAAAAAGAUGCUAGUCAGCACUUUAACUUUAUAAUCAUUGUUGAAUUUUAAAUCCAAUGUGCUGGGGGAGCGAUAAAACAAUAGAAAUUUGUCACAGAUUAAAUAUUGUCAGGCUGUGCUGUAUUGGAACAUCACUGAGGUCAGAUAUUGUAUGAAACAUUUUGUCUCCAUAAUUAUAUUAUUUAUUGCGUGAAAAUGUUUGAUUAGAGGAGUAAGGAACAUUUUGAAUUGUAAAUGAUCUUGUCAACAUAUAGAGAACAGAUUUUAACAUCUAAUGAAAUUGUAAAAAAGCACAAACAGAAAUGGGAAUGUGAACACGGCAAUAUAUUAUGUAGGAGGUUGAAAGAAUACUAUUGAACCAGAAAAAGAACAUGGGGAGAAAACUUUUAAUAUUUAAACAUUGUAGUGUAUAUGAUUAAUUUAAAGUGUUCUGUAUGACUUUUAUUGUGGCCACACCUGUGCAGCUGGUUAACACAAUCACUGUGUCCCACUUUCGUACUACAUACUGUAUACACUGUUUACUAAUGUUAAUAGUUUGAAAACAUCUCAUAUAACCAGCAAACAAAAUGCUUCAUGCAAGUGGGACGCAAAAGACUGGCAGUAGGCCUGACUUGAUAUUUUUUGAAUCACAUCAUAGGACAGAACUGAAAUGCUGGAUUUGAGCCUUACUUAUCCUACAGUCCAUUUACCGUCUGUGACCUGAGAGAAAACACCUGUGGUUGUUUGUUUUUUUCAUCAGUUGUCCUCGUAAAGGUUGCCAGCUGAACAUUUUCCCAAAAAACAUCUGAGUCGUGUAGCAGCAUGAUUAUAUGCUUCUCUUGCUGCUGUGAAUAAUUUGGAUUUACAGCAAUCAGCAAGUUCAAACCAGCCGUCAGAAUGUAGCCUGUCGCUGUAGUGAGACAACAGUGGGUAGUCUUCUCAACAUUCAGUUUAAGUGCCUCUUUAAGUUGAGUUGUAGAUUCAUAACAAACUUUGUUGCUGUCUCAACAUCCUUUGGACCUAUUUUCUUUGAAUGUCAACUGCUGUAUAGCAACGUUUUCUGAAUUAUCCUUAAACGGCUGCUCUUCCUUCUAAACAGUUUGGCCAAUACUUAAUUUUCUGUCUUAUCAAUCUUUCUGUAUUGAAGCAUAGAUGAGGAAGGUUUUUUUUUUUUUAAACCUCAUUUUUCAGAUUUUUCUCAUUUGCUGAGGAAAUGUUUCCUAUAAGGUAACAGAAUCGCUGACUCACUCUAAAUGCUACCUGCUUGUCUAUAUCACCCCUCCAUCUGUGCAUAUAGACACAGUUGAGUCAUGUUAUUAAUGAACUGUAUCAGGAACUAGAUUGUUGACACAAACGCACACAGUGCGAGUCAUAGAGCUGAUGAGACUGAGCACGUAGGACUGUAUCCAAGGGCUUAUUUUUAGCUCUCACUGUCCGUGCUGCUUUGAUCCAAGAAACUGUACAAACUCAUGGCAUGUGUGACAGCUUCUUAAUCUUCACUGACUGAAGCUAAAGUGACCUUAAACUGAGUCUUUUUUUUCUACUGUCAAUGUUUUAAAAGAUGCUAAGUGUACGUUCAAACUGUAAAUUAUAUAAUGUAGAAAAAGACCAAAACCAUUUGACACCAACCUCUCCAUGCUGUAUGACUUGUAUGUCUGGUCUGUAGGCAUAUGUAACUGUAAUGUUGACAUAAGUACUUUAGAAAGACUUUCUGCAAGGCUGUAUUACAAACCCUCUAGGAUUGUCCUCUUGAAUUGAUUGUAUGUGGGAGGAAGUCAAGUUCCCUUCUGUAACUAUGCAGUACUUGGUCUUAUGCAUUGCUUUAUAGGUAUGGACCAAACAGCUUAGACUUUUUCUGUAGUCUGUAAAUAAACUAAAUCAUCAAGAAGCUGUUUGGUUCAGGGCAGAGUUGCUUUCUAUCUGCUGGUCUGAGGUCAGUUUUCUUCACAGGGAGAUAAAGCAAAUUCACCUUUAAUAGAGUUUGAUCUGAUUAACUGAAUUAUAAAGGUAGGCACAACAUGUGAUUAUCAAAUGAAUCUAGUCAGACUAGAUUUCCCAUUUCAUCUUCAGAAAUGUUUAUGAAUAUUUAUAAUAAUGUGUUGUGAGUGCGCCAAGUGCACUUGAAGACUUGUACAAUUCUUUUAUGGGUGUAAAUAUACUGUCUAUCCUAUCUGACCCACGGUUACUGUAACCUGUAACGAUUGUUGUAAAAUAAACACUGUUUACUUUGCAAAUAUGUGCAAAAUAUAUAUUUGUUAACAUUAAAUGACCUUUGAAAUUGUAAAUAAAGCUUUCAUUGUUUCUAAAGGAA